AUGCUAUCAAAACACCAAUCAUCACCGCGAUUCAAAAAAAUCUGUUGCAAGAAAAGGUUGAAGAGACUUACCAGUCAAAGUUCUCCCAAUGCGACUUCGAGCAGCGGGUUGUUGGUUGUUAACAGCAGCGGAAGGAGAAGAUUCGUGGUAUGUGCAAGCAAGGUAAUGGCAACUUGGAAAAGUUUCUGGGAUUGUUUGGGUGAAUUUUUUGGUUUUGAAGCAGGCUGCUUUGACAGUUUUGGACAGAAGGUGCAGGUUUUGAAGCAGUUUGUAGAAGAGCAUAAUUUUGGACUGAUGCAAGAGGUUUAUGGACAUCACUUCUAUUGUGAGCUGGUUUUUGGCGAUGAAUUUAUGCAAGAACUGUGA